AACCCCUCUUUUUCGUCCCACCUUCGUCGAUUGUUUCUCCAAUUUUUUCUUAUUUCCGCUUCCUUUUUACGAUUCUAUUGUGUCACCUUAUUUAGUAGACAAUGAUACGACCAGGAUGGUCCACGGAAAGUUUCGCGUUACGCGUCCAACAACCCCAUCUGUCUCAUCCUAUAUUCGUCAAUUAUUCUUGAAAUUUCAUUUGCGUCUUUUCAUUUUGCUUCUUGUUUCGUUUGAUACACUGAUUAACGCAUGAUGUUGUUUCCUAUCUAUCUUUGUUAUCGUAGAAAUCUAUUGGUCAGUAUAAGUAGCUGUCCUGUUUCACCUCAUUUCUUGUUUUAUCGUUGUUCGAGUAAUAGGUUGAAUUUUUUUGUUCAAUUUUCCCGAUGGACUGUUCCGUCCUUUCAACGAAUUUUUUAUGUAUUUAAUUAUUCCUUGUUUAGUUAUUAUACCGCAUUUUCUAGGCUGAAUAGUUCAUCUUGUAUUUUCUUUAUCUUCUGGGUAUCAUAGAAAGAAUGUCCUGUGAAAUGAUUCAUUAUUUUUUGAUAGGUUGCAUAGAUGAAGUUAAAAAGGAUUCAGGAUUUAGACAAUAUUUUUAUACAAGACGCGCAGAGUAACAUCUUUGUACCAUUCUGCAGGCUACAAUUUAGUAAACAUACCGAACUUUUUAAAUAAAUAACGUACUAAAAGAUACAGAAACAUUUUACACUGGGAAAAGUGAAUCGUAUGAGGAUUUUCUAAAAAUUGCACACAAUAUUAAUGGAGAAGUUUUAAUAGUCAAAACCACAUUCCUAUUUGCAUUUGAUAUGUAUUUUAUGAUAUUGUUUGGAAGAUUAGUUGUACUUCAAAUGGCUCUAUCACAGCCAAAUUUAAUAAACAUAUGAUACAUAAUGACGUGACACGAUAUUUAAGGAAACUGUAUGUCUGAUAUUAUUUUUAAUUUAAAUUUAAGACGGAUUAAUCUAGAACAGCAUCCAGUAAACAAUGUUCCAUUCAAAUGACCCAAGUGAUUUUGUGUUAUAUUUAGCAUUUCUUUCGAAGUUAUUUUUAGCUACGAAGGUAUUCAUAACACAUACAUACAUCGUGUAAUACAUAAACAGUGUGAUGAAGAUUGUGAGAAGCAAAUCAUUUUUAUUUUCUGAUCUUGUAAAAUUCAGUUCAGACAUUCGAAAAUCUCCUAAUUAUAUACAAUACAAUACGUUUUACAAUACAUAUAUUCCUAGUAGCUUUGUAAUUGAUCCGAGAUCCUCUUUCUUUCAAUUCUUUUUCUCGUUUGUCUUCAAUAUUUAAAAAAGGCGUUCAUAGUACAACAGGAAAAUAAUGAUUAUUCAUACUAUUUAGGAAAAAUUACCAUAGUUAUCACAAGAAAUUAUUAACAUGGCAUUGUAAUCGUUUUAAUCAUAUUUGUUAAAUUUACAAUUAUUUUAAUGUCAUAGUAUCUAUAUAUCAUUUAUAACAAAUUGUUUUAAAUACUUCGAAUCUUUUUAUCAAGCAUCAUUCACAUUCUUGCACAUAUUCGUUUAUUCGAAUUCAUGUUUGCUUUCAUGUAAAAACUGUUUCCUUCUUAAAAUUCAUAUGGCGUAUUCCAAAGUCCUCGAAAAACUUUAGAAGCUGGACGAGACGGACAAUUUUGUUGGUAUUUUACUGACUUUGAUAAUUAAUCAAAAGAACUUGAAUGGCCAAGAAAACGAUUAUGAAGACUUUUGCAGCAGAAAACCUUGCAAUAGUAAACGCAAAAGCUUGCAAUCUUUCGUAUCGACAUUAUCAUUGAAACUACCGAGAAUAUGAAUGCUCUUGCUAAUUAUUUUAUAAUUUUUUUUCUUUGUUCGUCAACUUGCUUUUGUCAGAUUACUUGGGAGUAUCUGUCGAGUCGUUAGGUGUCAGGAAAAUUGAUUUAACGAUCAACAGGUUGAAAGUUAGUAAUAUAUAUCUAAUGAAAAAUGGAAAGUAAAUUGGAUAAAUAAGUUAUAGUACUUUUGUGGAAAGAAUAUUUGUAUUGUGGCGAAUUUAUAAUAUUAGAAUGGAAAAUGUUAUCUGUAUAAAAUUAAGCUGAGAUAAGAAAGGAAUUUUGAAUAUUAUUUCAUGCGUUGAUUUGUCAUUUUCUGCGCUAAUUAAUCUUAGAAUUCCAAAUUUGCACAAAAAAGAUAGGCGAUUAUCGACGAAUACUAUUUUCAAUAUUAUUUUACAUUAUACUAGGAUAUUAGGUCAAAUCAAUAUUAGUAAUUCUGCUGUAAUGAAUUCAGAAUCCUUCAGCUGCUAUGAGUACUUGAUGCUUAAUCGAUUCUCUUCAUUUUGGAAAUUCAUUCUUGUAACAUAUUAAUACUUUAUAGUUUAAUGUCAAACGUCUAGAAUCCUUCGUUCAUAGAUUACAUACUGUUAUCUGAUCCUAAGACUUUUCUUAAUUAGUUACUUCUCGAACUAUCGUGUUUCUUUGUCUCGACGCUGAAUUAGUACUUAUUAGUGCUGUUUUGCAUGUAUAGUUAUCCAUUCCAAAUUAUAAAGAUUUAUAAGUUUUCAAAACAAAUGCAAUUAGUUUUAGAAAUAAAACGAUAUCAUCAUAAAGAGGUAAUUAACAAUUCCGUAAUUAUUUAAAAGACAAGGUAUCAAAUCUAUGUAUUUUACGAUUUUCUGAUGAAACACUGUUACAUUGAUUUUUCUUGGAAAAAUAAAGUCUCUUCUCAUUUACUCUUCUCACGAUUACCGAAUUCUUUGUAAAUAUGUAAGAAAUUCUCGAUUGCUUACGUUUAGAAGAAUCGUAUAUUUACUUCUUCUGUACUCGAGAACAAAAGCUGUUCAUAUAAUUUACAUUUGCUUUAAAAAAGAAAUACAGUUUUUCCAUUUAUUUGCCUCUUCCGUGUAUUGGUUUUUAUUAUAACCUCCGGGUUGUUCAUGAUACUUGAGAUAUUAUAUUGCGAUAAAGUGGCAACUCAGACGGUGGUUAAAAAAACAAAUCGAACGACGCAGUAUUGAUCGAGUCAUGUUGAACCGACUCGAACGAAACAAUCGUCGCGGUGUCGUAUAAAAAUCGUUCGGACAAAGUGAUCAUAGAAGCAGUUUCCUAGACGAAUCGAGAAACGCGAGACGUAUAGAUAGUGUAGAUGACGACGUAAUCGGUGUGGCGUGGCGCGGUGUGCCGCAACAUGCUGCUAGUAAUCGACAGUCAAGGUUAAAUUACACCGACGUUCCCAUAUUACACGUUGGGACAGGAUCUCCUUGGACGUGGAGUAUCUGUUAAUCGCAUAUUCGUGGACUGAUCGCUUUUAGACGCUCGCACUGUGCAUACUUACAUACCAGCUGAAAGGCGUAAUUUUCGGAUAGUCCCACGUCAUGAACGAAGAUGUAAGAAGAUGUGAAAACCAUAGGAGAAAAUGUGAUAUGUAGAUCCAUCUUUGUUGAUCUUCUGAUUCUUAUAUUAUGUUAGUUGAAGGAGACUACCUCGGAUUGGAAAAAUUUUAUUAAAGAGAGAGGACGUUUUACGUGCACGUUACAACUGAAUGGAUACAUACUGCACUGUAUUAUAAAUUCAUUCUGCUUUUAUAUUUACUACUAGCAGAUAUUUAUGCAAAUUUACAUCUUUAUGGGCACAGUUACGAAGAACGGAGCUUAAGCGCAGCGUGUUCUAUACAAUAUCCGUAUUAUGUGUAUUCCGUGUACCUUUGCAUCCUCAAAUUUCCCAUAAAUAUAUCAAAAUCCGUAGUCUACCACCUAUUGCACAAUACCCACAAUCUUGCGUUAUAUCUUUGCCUUGCCAGUGGCAGCAGCUAGUAGAAAAUAUUCUUUAUUUCUUUAUACGUUUAAAAUUUGCCAAUGAUUCCUUUUAAUGACGAUAAAUUUUUACCUAAACGGCUGCUGACGUGUAACUUCUACGAUGUAUGUAACAUUAACCAUCGUACAGUCGGUAAAGGAUCGAAAAAACCAUAUUACAUCACCAAUCGGAUAUGUUACACUCUAGUACAAUAACAUAGACAGCUAUUUUAAUUAAAAAGGUCUCAGGCAAAUCGACAAAUAAGUAAAUAAGGAUAAUCUUGCUUAUAUAUCGAUCUUGGUUCGUUUGAGUGGACACACACAAUUAAUCGAAUAUUCCUGUGAGGUCUAGAGGCUGUAAUGGCGACGCGCACCUAAUGAGACACACGUUCAGUGUUCGAUAACAUAUGGGAAGUUGCACAGCGUUGCGGAACGAACGCGGAACCGCAUUCGAGCAACGACGUUGCUCGUUGCGGUUUUCGAGGGGAAUCGUACGCGAAAGCAAAAAGUUUCCGCGGUCUGCUACUCGGAGAGUGCCCGAGUGAAAGGUACCUCCCAUUUUUUUCUUCCUCUCUUACCGAUCGAGCUAAUCUCUCGCUCACCGUCUUGCACUUAACGCCGGGCAUUCUCCUCUUUCAAACGUGGUGCGCUUUUUCCCUUCGCGCGCUUUGAAAUUCCUUGGAAGGAAUAGUAUUUUCCGUGCCAACUACAUACAACGUAUAUUGUAUACAGCGACUCAUAAAACUAUUCGAACGCUUACCAUAGCAAAUUUUUACGUACACACGGUAUAUACAAAAAGUCUUUACACGUAUCCUUAGUUUCUAAUGAAAUGAUUUUUCAUGAGGUCCUGCGAAAUUUUUAUAGAAAUUUAAUAUACUCGGAGCUAAUUAAUCAGUAUAUAAUUCCUAUAAUAAACACAGUGGCGUGCUAGUAUUUUUUGCAGCCACUGUAUUAUGUGUAUUACAUAAAACGUCUUCGCAAAUUUCAUUUAUAUCGUAGCGAGUUACGACUGUGAAUGAUUUUAUUCGUGAAAUUUGGAACGAAUCUGAGAAUUGAUGUAGAAAUUACAGGGUACUUACUAUUAACAUGUAUUUAGUAAAAAGUUAAUGUACAAUAUAGAAAGCUGACUGUG